GGUAAAGAGCUUGGGAGUCUUCUAAGAGAGACCCUGCCUGUUACUUCUCCCUGCUGUGACUUCAGUCGGGAAGACUCCCUCCAACUCACCUCCCUGGGUCCCUCUUUUUUGAGUAGGAUUAGAGUUAAGAGGAUAUUCUUCUUCCCUUAUCACCUCAUCCCUUCCCUUCUAAGGCCUGAGAGAAGAAGGCAUGCUGUGGACACUCUCCCUACUUGUAGCUUUCCUGCCUCCUGGCAGUCAAACAUCUUCCAACUCAGAGAAGACCAUGACAGUGGUCACCAAGCCAACUGGGUCGUCUGUUACAGUCACUUGUAGUAUUCCUCAACAAAGUGGCUACAUCCACUGGUACCGGUUCCAGGAGGGGAAGGCCCCACAGCGCCUUCUCUACUAUGACUUCUCCAUUUCCAGUUCUAUAGUGGAUUCAGGAUUCAGUCCAGUUAAAUACCAUGCUUUUAGAGGCACAAAGAUCUGUAACUUUGUACUACAAAAUCUGGAAGAAAGUGACUCCGGAGUGUAUUACUGUGCCAGCGCGACUGGCACAGUGAUUCCAACCUGCUUUGUACUCCACGCAAAAAAUUGCUUAUGGUUUCUCCUAGUACUCAAGAUAGGCCAGUCCCUACCUCACUUCCGGCUCUCAACUCCACCAUAG